rnacentral:rRNA from 1 species
UACAGAGGGUGCAAGCGUUAAUCGGAAUUACUGGGCGUAAAGCGUGCGUAGACGGUAGCGUAAGUCGGGUGUGAAAGCCCCGGGCUCAACCUGGGAAUUGCAUUCGAGACUGCUCUGCUAGGGUGCGGAAGAGGGAAGCGGAAUUUCCGGUGUAGCGGUGAAAUGCGUAGAUAUCGGGAGGAACACCUGUGGCGAAAGCGGCUCACUGGACCACAACUGACGCUGAGGCGCGAAAGCUAGGGGAGCAAACAGG